AGAGCAAACGUGAAGGGGAGCAGUGGGCUUGACGUCCAUUUUGAUAUCACUGAGGCCCAGGUAGAUCUUUCUGCUUUGAGAUGAACUGCUGUAGUAUAUCCUGCUGCUGGACAGAAGUGGAAAAUCAUCUGUGUUAUCAAGUUGGUGGUGAUUCAUGCUCAGCCAGUCACGUUAGAUCUGUCAGUUACAGGAACUCAUAUAUUAGGAGUGUUGAAAAUGGAAGCUGGAAGACAGAGCUUGCUUCUCAGAGUACUCCAACCUAAUUUAUAUCAGAAAAACAUAAAAGUCAUUUGGGCCAGAAUGGACUGAAAAACACCUGACCUGAUGGGUAACAAAUGCCUCACUGAAGCCUCAGGUCCUCUGUCAGAAUCAAGCAAGUGAGGACGGGACUGGACUGUCACACCCUGGCAUCAGCCUGUGGCUCCCCUGGGCCUUGAGAGCUGGUCCUCCCCCCAGUUCCCCGAGUGACUCCCCGAGGCCCGGCUGGGGCACUGCUCUCACACCAUCCCCCGAACCCUGCAGCUUCCCCCAGGCUUCUGGUCUUUUGUUUCUCAGACUCAAGCAAGUUGUCUUUUCUUAUCACCAAGUUCUGAUCACACAGUUCUCUUGCUCUUUCCUCUCCUCUCCCCAAGGCAGCUUCACUUCCUCCACCCAUGUUUCCAUCACAUCCUGAAAGGACCAGUUGAGAGAUUACCCACAUUCCAAGAAGUGAGGUUAACAGUCACGCAGUGUAGGUGAAGUGAUGAAAUGUCACUCCCCAAGGAAGAACAGACACAAGGGUCCUUGACCUAGGCCUACGGUGAAUUCCUUUGGCAACUGUGACCACAUCCUGUUGCUUUUCCCUUAAAAUUAUCAAGAUAAAUAUUCUUUCAGAGUCCCCAGUGCUCAAAUAACGCAUCAGCAAAUGGAGAUCCAGUCAAGUUUGUCUUUACAACUCCACGCUCUUUCUAUGAAGCCCACGUGUGGCUUCUAGAUCCAAAACCCCCCCACCCCCAGCUUCAGCUUUGUGCAUCCCACUUAGGAACUCUAGACCUUUCUUCCACCAAAUCUUAACACCUCCACUGCAUCUUCCCUAAACCUUGAUUCUCCUGGUUCUUGUCAGCGGGUACUGAUCUCUUGCUUCUGCCUAAUAACAGACUUUGAUUCAAUGGCGCCUUUUGUUCACUUUAUUGCAGCCCACUUCUGGGGUCCUUAAAAUCCAAAGCAUGACUCUGGCCAGUAGGUAGAUACUCUGAGACUGGUUUUGGCAACGGAGGAGGUGUGGGCAAGUGUUGGGUGAGCUGAGCUGAAUUGAGUAGUAGGUCUUAAUAGUAUCUUUCAAGUGAGACUUUGGCCACCCCACCCUUCUGCUGCAGUUGGAAAGAGAACAUCUAGAACAAGAAGCAGAUGAGGUCUAGACAACACCUCAGGAAGGCAACGAGGCCCUCCCUCUAACUUUUCGAAUACGUGGAAGAGAAAGCACACGAAGGUGUACUAAGAACCUAGCACACAAAUGCAAGGUAUUAAUAGGGGAAAGUCUUCGUGGGAGGAAGGGGGAUAUGGAAACUCCCUAU